GGCUGCAGUGAGCAGAGAUUGCACCACUGCACUCCAGCCUGGGCAACAGAGCGAGACCCUGCCUGAAAAAAAGUCAUCAGUAUGUAUGUGUAAGCUUAUUUCUGGACCAUUUUCUUUUGGAUCUAUUUGAGUAUUUUUACACCAGUAUCAUUCAGUUUUGAUUACUCUGGUCUUAAUAUGAAUUCUUAGAAUGUUAGCUCUUCAGUUGUGUUCUUUUUCCAGAUUGUUUGAGCUCUUCUACCUCCUCUGCUUUUCCAUAUGGAUUUUAGAAUGGACCUGUGAAUUUAUACAAAUGUAGGGAGAGUUGACAUCUUAACAGUAUUGAGCUUACUAAUCCACAAACCUUGGAUGUCCCUAUUUAUUCAGGUCUUCUUCAACUUCUUUCAAGAAUGUUUUACUUUUUCAAUUUGGAGGUCUUUCACAUCUUUUGUCAGAUGGACCUCUGCGUAUUGUCUAUUUUUAUACAGUUAGGAAGUGGUAUUUUCUAAUGUCAAUAUCUGAUAGUUGAUUACCAUUUUAUAGAAACACAAUGGCCUUUGUAGAUCAGUCUUGUUAUUCCAUUAACCCUAUUCAUCUCACUUAGUAAUUCUUGUAGCUUUUUUUUUGUUUUUUAUUCCAUCGGGUUAGAUGGUCACGUUAUCUGUAGAUAAGAUUGUUUUCUUUUUCCUUUCUCGUCUGUAUGGCUUUUAUUUCUUUUUAGGGGCCUAACUGCACGAGCAGGAACCUCCAGGUCAAUGUUGGAUGGAGGUGAUGAAGGCAGACAUCCCAGCCUCCUUUCUGUUCUUGGUGAGAAGAUGUUCAGUCUUCCACCACUGGUUGUGGGGUUGUCAUAGAUAUCCUGUAUUAGGUUGGGAAAGUCCCCUCUAUUCCUAAUUUACUGAGUGGUGUUUUUUAAAAAAAUCAGGAACCGAUGUUGGAUUUUUCAAAUGCUUUUCUGUACCGCUAAAAGAAAAACCUUGGACAAAUUAAACUUAACAGAGUUUAAUGAAGCAAAGAACCACUCGCUAAUUGGGCAGCCCCCAGACCCAAAUAGGUUCCGAGAGGCUCCGGUACUGCUGCAUGGCUGAAGAUUGGUGGACAGAAAAAGGAAAGGAGGUACAGAAAAUGGAAGCAAAGCCCAGAAACCACCGGAGGGGCUGCAGCUCGACGCUUGCCUUAUCUGAACACGGUUGGAAUGGCCGGCACCCUUGAUGAGCGGAAACCCGGGUGUUGCUCUGUCACCCAGGCUGGAGUGCAGUGGUGCCAUCACAGCUCACUGCAAUUGUUACAGGAGAAGGGUCCUGGUCCAGACCCAGGCUGGAGUGCAGUGGUGCCAUCACAGCUCACUGCAGUUGUUACAGGAGAAGGGUCCUGAUCCAGACCCCAAGAGAGGCUUCUCGGAUCCUGUGCAAGAAAGAAUUCAGGUGACUGAGAACGCCUGACCGUCGGGGAAUGCAGCCCACUAGGUCUCAGCCUCAUUGUUCCCAGCUCCUGUUCAAGAUGGAGUCGCUCAGGUUCACACACCUCUGACACAGCCUCUGCCUCCUGCUUCAGCCUCCUAAGCAGCUGGGACUACAG